CCUACGGGUGGCAGCAGUGAGGAAUAUUGGUCAAUGGGCGCGAGCCUGAACCAGCCAAGUCGCGUGAGGGAUGAAGGUUCUAUGUAUCGUAAACUUCUUUUAUAUGGGCAUAAAGUGUGGGACGUGUCCUAUUUUGUAUGUACCUUAUGAAUAAGGAUCGGCUAACUCCGUGCCAGCAGCCGCGGUAAUACGGAGGAUCCGAGCGUUAUCCGGAUUUAUUGGGUUUAACGGGUGCGUAGGCGGCCUUUUAAGUCAGCGGUGAAAGUUUGGGGCUCAACCCUAGAAGUGCAGUUGAACCUGGGGGGGUUGAGUAUGGUUGAGGCAGGCGGAAUGCGUGGUGUAGCGGUGAAAUGCUUAGAUAUCACGCAGAACCCCGAUUGCGAAGGCAGCCUGCCAGGCCAUGACUGACGCUGAGGCACGAAAGCGUGGGGAUCAAACAGGAUUAGAUACCCGAGUAGUC
rnacentral:rRNA from 1 species